AACUUUUGGAAUUAAAUAAAAAAGGAAAAAACCCAGAAAUUACUCUUGAACCAGAAUUAGUUCAAGUUUUUUGUAAUUCUGAAAAAUUAAAAAGUAUUAAAGUAAAAUGUUAUGUUAGAAUAGAAAAUUUUGAAAUAAUUUGGUAAGGUUUAAUAGACUCAGGAUGUAGUCAUUGUGUAAUUAAUAAAAGAAUUAGACCAGAAAAAUAUAUAAUAAAGUCAAAAGAACCUAUAGAAGCCCAACAAAUGGAUGAGAAUUUUUAUAGUUAUCAAGAUAUCCUUAAACCAGCAAGAAUUAGUUUUGAGACUAAUUGUGGAAGGAGUACAUAAUAUAGUUUACCUAAAGACUCAGUAUGUGUAAGAGAAUUAUCUUUAAAUACAGACUUAAUUUUAGGAUUAAGUUUUUUGUUAAAAGAUAAUGGUAGUAUAAUAAUUAGUAAAGAUUAUAUGCAAUUACAAAAAUUUACAAUUUGUGCACCUACUUAUACUAAGAUUAUUCCAUCAGAGUAUGCUGAGAAGCGUGGUGGGAUUAUAGAAAAAGAAUGUGAGUGCAGUAGAGAAAGAGAAUGUCAAUUAAUAGAAAAAGAAUUAGAAAUUUUUUUAGAAUAAUAUUAUGAAAACUUUAAGGAAGAAGAAGAAAUAUGUUUAGAUUUUGUAAAAAUUGAAAAAAUAUAUAAUUUGUUAGUAACAGAACAAGAUAUAGAAAACAUGAUUAGUAAACUAGAAAAAUUAGAAAUUUUAGGAGAAAAUGUAUUAAAAUAUUGGGAAAAAAAUAAAGUUUUUUAUGAAAUAAAAAUAAAAAAUCCAGAAUAUAUAAUUAAGACAAAAAAUAUUGAAGCUACAAACCAAGAUCAGGAAGAUUUUAAGAUGCAUAUAAAAGAUUUAUUAAAAUUAGAAGUAAUUAAAAAAUCAGAAAGUUCACAUAGAUCAGCAGCUUUUAUAGUUAGAAAACAUUCAAAAAUUAUUAGAGGAAAAAGUAGAAUGGUAAUUAAUUAUAAAAGAUUAAAUGAUAAUACAAUAGAUGAUGCUUAUAAUAUUCCAGAUAAGACAGUUUUAAUAAAUAAGAUUCAAGAUUGUAAUUUUUUAGUAAGUUUGAUUUAAAAUCUGAUUUUUGGCAAGUAAAAAUGCACCCAGAUUCAAUAGAAUGGAUAGUCUUCACUAGCCCAGAAGGACAUUUUGAAUGUUUAGUUAUGCCAUUUGGAUUAAAAAAUGCCCCUAGUAUUUUUCAAAGAAAAAUGGAUAGUAUUUUUAGUAAGCAUAAUAAAUUUAUCAUAGUUUAUAUAGAUGAUAUUUUAGUAUUUAGUAAAAAUAGGCGAGAACAUAGAGGUCAUUUACAAAUUCUUUUUUCAGAAUUUAUUAAACAUGGUUUAAUUAUAAAUAAAAAGAAAAUGUUUUUAUUUAAAGAAUAUAUAGAAUUUUUAGGAGUAAAUAUAGGAAAAGGAAAAAUAGAGUUACGACCUCAUAUAGCUCAAAAAGUUUUAGAUUUUCCAGAUAAACUUAAUAUCUUAAGCAGUUACAAAAAAUUUUAGGAUUAGUUAAUUAUGCUAGACCCUUUAUUAAAGAUUUAGGAAAAAUUGUAGGACCCUUAUAUGGAAAAAUUUCACCAAAAGGUCAAAGAUAUUUUAAUAUAGAAGAUAUUAAAUUAGUCCAAAAAAUAAAAGAGAAAUUAAAAGAUUUACCUAAAUUAUCUAUGCCAUUAGAAACAGACUAUUUAAUUAUAGAAACAGAUGGAAGUAUAACAGGAUGGGGAGCAAUUUUAAUUGCAAAACCCAAUAAAUAUGUAAAUAAGGAUGGUGAA
rnacentral:lncRNA from 1 species